UACGAACCGUGCAAACGUUGUUCGGAUUCACUGGGCUUAAAGGGCGCGUAGGCGGGUGGUCAAGUCAGGGGUGAAAUCCUCCAGCUCAACUGGAGAACAGCUUUUGAUACUGGCCAUCUUGAGGGAGGUAGGGGCAUGUGGAACUUCCGGUGGAGCGGUGAAAUGCGUAGAUAUCGGGAGGAACAUCAGUUGCGAAGGCGGCUCUCUGGACCAGUACUGACGCUGAGGCACGAAAGCGUGGGGAGCAAACAGG
rnacentral:rRNA from 1 species